rnacentral:tRNA from 1 species
GGCUCUGUAGUGAAGUUCAUGGCGGGUUGCAAGCCCGUUGAUGCACAUUAGUUGUGUGCCGGAGUCU